UCUAAAAGGCGUGUUUUAAUUAAUAAGGAAGCUGAAGAAAAGCAUUCAGAGGAAGCACUGUCAUUAGUGCAGACGGGUAAGCACAGUGUGUCAUGCACGCACUUGGGCAGAACUUUUAAUCUGCUCCAUCCACGACUCUUCAGGUUUCUUAUUGCUGGGUUUUCCCGUGUGUCUUUAUUCUGACUUAUUCAUUCAAGAACGCUGCUGAAAACAACUAGAAGAGCUGGUGAGGAUGGAGAGAGGGAAGAAAUUGGAGAAACAAUCAUGCUUGCCUGGAUCAGAGACCACUUACUUGUCUGCUGGGUUCUUCCUGCAACCCUGAUCCUGUUUCUGGCUCCAGUCCCACAGAACAUUGGUUUCAGGCCAGCACCCUGCUGUACCGGGGCUCUACAGACAGGUUGCUCUGCCAGAGAGAAGGAAAGCUCAUGAUUAUGUCACACAGAAAUGUGGAUACAGUGCUCCAUCUCAUACGUCCCUCUGACUUUUGGCCCCUCUCGGAAGCAGCACAGUGUGCUCAGUUUAGAGUCCUCUGCUCAGGUAACAUGCCAACCCACGUCACUGUCGUAGAAAUAAGAGACAGCGGGGUUGGAGAGAAUGUCAAGAGGUUGUCCAAGGCAGCCACCUGUCCCAUGACAGGACUCACCUCUGCCUGAAGCAUUUCCAACAGGUACGUGCCCAAUUGCCACACACAGCCCAAGGACCUGCCUUGAAAAUCUCUUCCUGCUAGUUCCUCCUCAGUGACUGGUCUAAAUCUUCCUCGAAUCAAUAAGUCUCUUAAUUCUUCUUCUAUCCAGCGUAGACAUAAGACACUGAAAAGAUGAAAGGACUCAAUUGUUCUCUUUGUAUUUGAAGACUUGUAGUUCCUUUAAGUACGCUGUUGGGAAACCUACUGAAACUCUUAUCUCCUUACACUUCUCAUUCUCAGAUACUUACGUCCUGAUGUUUUAUUGAUUUCACUUCAAUCUCAUUGCUGCUUCCUGAACCGCUUACAUUUCCUAACAAGCGUAGUACAAAACCAGACCUGCUACUUCAGCUGAUGCCUCACCAGAGCUGAACGGUUAUUUUACAUCACGUAGAUGACAAUGUUUAUACACCACCAUGUAUCUGUCCCAUUGUGCAGCACCACAGUGUUGUUAGAACACGUCACCAAACAAACACAAACCACCUACCUGACAUUUUUCUGCCCAGCUGACCUCUAAUUCCUUUGUCCAAUAUCUCAAGAUGGUUUGGACUCCUAUGCAUGCUGUGAUCUUGAACAUGAGCUAUUUUUCAUACUUGUGUUAAUAAGCAGAAGACUCAUCUCACCCGCAGACUGGUCCAAAGUUUCAAAAAGCAGAGAUCAAGUCAACAAUAGAAUCAAGUAAUUCUUAGUUCUGCUGAAAUCUAUCAGAAAAGUUCUUGCAACUUCCAACAACACAAAGAUGUGAUCCACCAGAACAGAUUGACAGACUGGAUAUCUUGGUUUUAUUUUUGUCAGAGCCAAGCAUGCUAAGUCAAGAUCAGAGACAUGCACAGCAUGCCAUACAAACUAAACUGCUCGUUGGCAAUGACAUUUUGCAUAUGCGUCCUACAAUCCAUCAAUUGCUGCUUAUAUGUGGUUGUUUGGUAUUCUUUUCUGUACCUUUCAAAAAAUAAAAAGCCAAGACACACAAGUUUUGCUUGUUUGUUUAAAAAAACACCAUAUUUUUUACUGUAAGCUCUGGUAAGAAAACAUAAAAUAGUGAAACAGUAAACCAACUUCCCCUAAAGGCCAUGUAAAGGCAUUUAUGGCAUGUCUGAGCAGUGAGUGUGCUGUGAAAGUCAUCUCUGCGUGUAUAAGGAGAUUUUACAGUUUUAAAACAUGAGUAAUUGUAUUUUAGACAACGCUGUUGAUGUAUUCUCGUGACAGCUCAAAUGUAAUAUUAAGAGGAAGAGAGAACAGGAAGAUCUGUGUGGUGCUUUAGGCACAGUCCCUUUCCUGUCUUGUAAAAACAACAACAAAAAAAUUAGGAGGAGCAGGACUUGAACCCCUGUUUGAAACAAUUCUAUAUUCGAGUCAGUGAACGUUAUCUCAUAUUGCUUAGUACAGUAAUUCCCGUUCUUUCACCUCUCAAAUCAGAACAUAAAAUUCUGGUCUGCUUAUUUCAGAGUCCCACAGUUCAGCAGUACAGCACCAGAGGUCCAGGUUCAGUGCACUUCAGCAGUUGCUCCCUAUUGUCCCGACUCUAGAUGGUGUUAAGGGCUGAAUUCAACACUCAGAGUAAUAAAGCUACUGCCAGCUUUGGUAAAGACAUUGAAGUGAAAGGCGAGUUGUUCAGCACCUUGGUUUCUUAUUAAACUAGAGCAAAGAAGGAACGUGAAACCAAUUGAAAACAUGGAAAUCCAUUUACCUUAAAAUUCAAGCUAUUACAAAUCUUCAUACCCUUCUGUCAUCAGGAAGAGUUUCUUACCGUGUGGCAAGUAGAAAUCCCACACUUUAAGGCCACUUUUCAACCAUUCCCUUUUAACCUCAUGGCUGCACUUUAAGCAACCAGUAAGCUGGUUGUAUGCUGAUUUAUGCAAUGAACUCACUCCAUCCAGCCACGCUGCAGUAACACCAUCUGUAGACAUAGUUCUGCUUUCAGUCACUCCAUGGUAACUGUCAGCUUCAUUCACACUGACAGAAAUUCUUCACUUGGUCAGAGGGAAGAGACUGCCAACUGUCAACUAUCCAGGACUUUAAGGGAUCGUGCAAGAUAUCCACAGGAAAAUUAUGUACUAACUCAGACCACUAAUUGCUCUGCCUUUGUGGGUUUCCUUAAGAAUGGAAAAUUCCCAAUGACUUAAAGGAAUUUGUCCC